CCUACGGGAGGCAGCAGUAAGGAAUAUUGGUCAAUGGACGCAAGUCUGAACCAGCCAUGCCGCGUGAAGGAUGAAGGCCCUCUGGGUUGUAAACUUCUUUUGCAGGGGACGAAAAAAGGGAAUUUUUUCUCACUUGACGGUACCCUGGGAAUAAGCACCGGCUAACUCCGUGCCAGCAGCCGCGGUAAUACGGAGGGUGCAAGCGUUAUCCGGAUUCACUGGGUUUAAAGGGUGCGUAGGUGGGCAUUUAAGUCAGUGGUGAAAUCUCCGGGCUUAACCCGGAAACUGCCAUUGAUACUAUUUGUCUUGAAUAUUGUGGAGGUAAGCGGAAUAUGUCAUGUAGCGGUGAAAUGCUUAGAUAUGACAUAGAACACCCAUUGCGAAGGCAGCUUACUACGCAAAUAUUGACACUGAGGCACGAAAGCGUGGGGAUCAAACAGGAUUAGAUACCCUGGUAGUCCACGCCCUAAACGAUGGAUACUCGACAUCAGCGAUACACAGUUGGUGUCUGAGCGAAAGCAUUAAGUAUCCACCUGGGAAGUACGACCGCAAGGUUGAAACUCAAAGGAAUUGACGGCUGAGACGNGCGAGACGACGACGAGGAGGAGG
rnacentral:rRNA from 1 species